GGGAGAUAAAGGAAGAAACUGAAGGCGCCUUGUCUCGACUCCAGCCAGCUUAGUUCUUUGGAGAAGCAGUGUGGAGUCCUAAAAAAGGAGGCUGAGUCUUACCGUUGAGGUCGGUGCCGGUAGAGAAUGGGAGGGAGUCUGCAGGAGCCAAGCACCCUAAAGAAGAGGAAGAGAGCACGUUGCUGAGAUUUGAACAGCGACCUGAGAGGUCAGACUGGACCCAGGCCUCCUCAAGAAGCAACGGAGAUGGAGAUUCUUCCCUUUUCCCGGCCCUUCGGUCCUUCUCCGGAAGAGCUACUCUGGCCAGCUCUGGGCUAGGGGCAGUGGCCGAAGAGAAGGGGAAAGUAAGGUUGAGAGCACUGGAUUCGAGCCCAGCAGAGAGCGGUUUCUAGGCCCCACCCACCCUCCCCCCAAGGUUUUCUUAAAAGUGAAUCUUGGCGUGGUUUUUGCAGACCAAACAUCAGAAACCCGGGAGAGGAAUCUAGAGAGUGCAUUUUGUUCUGUUUUGCUUUAAUAAUAAGUAGUGUGCCUUGUUAAACACCCUAUUACCCCCGCCCCCUUCUCCCACAACCUCUCUGGAGAAGAGUCUUUCCGGAGCGCCUAGAAACCUAAAAAUAACACGCCACGCUGAAGGUCCGGAGAAGCCACCGGCCACCUCUACAGAGUGGGGAUGCUGCCCGUGAAAGGUCAUCACUUUCUUCACCCCGACAACCUGACAACAAAGCCCAAGCAGUUGAUCCUUUCCUUCCUUUGAGCCCAGGAUCCAAGCCCGAAAUAGAUGGGGAGGCCCCAACCCUACAGCCAUGAGGAAAAAGUGGUUCCUCGGUGACCACCGUGGCCACCGUGGCCACCGUGACUAUCUUUCGAGUUAGAGCCUUUGGUCAAGUCUAGAUGUCACACUUUAAAUGCCUUCCAAUGUUCCCCUUCUCGAGUCUAAUUUUUGCAAAGAAAUGAGAUGGGACCAUCAGACUCUGCCUAUGUUGCUGCCAUCUGGUGUGCGAGCAGUCUCCAGCUUGUGCUCCAGCUUGUGCUGAGAAGCACGGCUGCAGUACCUUAGGGGUAAACCUAUGAUGCCAACCCCACUCACCUCCGCCAAUACAGCUGCUGGAGCCUGUUGCUUUUUCACACCACAGAUACUUCAUGCUGCCUAAUAUUCUACCGAGCCAGCCUAGGGGACUUGGAUCUGUCUCGCCUGGGGCUAAGAGAAUAGUUUCUCUAAGAAGAAAACAGUUCUAAUUCAAAGAUGCUGGAUCUGGCUUCCUUUAAAGCCUGAAGUCGCUGAAGUGGCCAUAGAACUAUGGGGUCCAGAGGACUGCCAGUCUCAGCCAGCCUUUAGGCUGGAGAGAGGCUGUGGGCCUGCUUGGGGACUAAAAUGGAUGAAUAAGAAACCUGUAAGAAAUGUAAACAGAUGGAAUGGCAAGGAGGAGAGCGCUGGAGAUUGUUCAGGUGUGAGCUGAGGUUUCUGAGUUUGUACUGGGGAUGCCUUUGCACACAGUGAGGUGCCCCCUCCCUAAGUGGCUCUUGUUUUGCACAAACAGCCCCACCCUGCGCACACACUGUGGGUCUCAGUAGGGACUGAGGGUGUAGGUGCUCAGGUUUUGGGGGUGGUGGUGAAGGGGCACUCAGAAUCAACAAGACAGGGCGGGGAAAAUCAAAAUCAACCAAGGAACCAGCCUUCCAUUUCUGAAAAGCCGCGCUCUGGCCCCCGUGCUUCAGUUCUGAAAUACGAAUAAAUGGAGUCAGAUCCCGUACUACACUCCGGGGACAGAGUUUUAAUGUAAACGUAAAAUAUGCUUGUAAUAAUCACUUGUGGGCCCUGAAGCGCCACUAGAAUGAAUCUCUGUUUAAUUAUAGGGCAUGAGAGGAGUAUUACCAGCUAAUUAAACCCCAUCCUAUUUGUAAUUCC
rnacentral:lncRNA from 1 species